rnacentral:rRNA from 1 species
CAGCAGCCACGGUAAUACGUAGGUGGCAAGCGUUGUCCGGAAUUAUUGGGCGUAAAGCGCGCGCAGGUGGUUUAAUAAGUCUGAUGUGAAAGCCCACGGCUCAACCGUGGAGGGUCAUUGGAAACUGUUAAACUUGAGUGCAGGAGAGAAAAGUGAAAUUCCUAGUGUAGCGGUGAAAUGCGUAGAAAUUAGGAGGAACACCAGUGGCGAAGGCGGCUUUUUGGCCUGUAACUGACACUGAGGCGCGAAAGCGUGGGGAGCAAACAGGAUUAGAUACCCCAGUAGUCCCUGUCUCUUAUAC